rnacentral:lncRNA from 1 species
UUUCCCCAAGCAAGCAUUAUCUUCUCCCAUUCUAUACACAGUACGUCCUGGUCUUGCUCAUUGUUGAUCUCCGCUACUUGGAUCUACACCUCUUCUCCCCUUCUGGCAGGGAUCUCUGCCUUCGCUGCUAUCUCCUGGCUACCUGUGCCAGGGCCUAGUUCAGAGUAGAUGCUCAGUACAUAUAUAUUGAAUAUAUCUUGAAUGUAUGAAAGAACAAAUGAGUUUCCUUUCUACAAAGGAGGGGACUGAGGCGCAGAGAAAUGAGCUGAUCACUUGUCCAAAGUGACAUGGCAAAUAAAUGACAGCUGUGGGAUUCAAGUCCUGCCAGACUCCUAAGCUUGGAAGUGCCACGAAGCCCUUGCCGCCCUGCCUUCCUGUCCGGGAGAUGGCUCCAGGUAGCUCCAGGCAACCAGAAGAUGUGCUGGGAUGGAGGCUGUGGAUAUCAUCUUUGGUGUUAUUUUGCUUCUAGAGAUGGGAGCUCUUUUCUGAGCCUAUUUGUAGGGACAUCUGCAUAUACGAGCCACCUAUCUGUUGGGGCCAGGCCCUGGGGAAGAGAGUUUGCAAGAGGCCCAGGUUUAGUUGAACACGUGGAACCAUUGGUGAGCUCCUAGCUCCUGCAGUCCUCUUUCCAGCCACUGAGUCUCAUUGGAAGGCUUUGCUCUUUUCUCUGCCUCCUGCCAUGGAUAGAGGAAUCUAAGAGGUUCUGAGAUUGGAUGGAAUUCUGGGGCUCAACUUGCACAGAACCUUUUCAUGAGUCACUUUCUGUCCUUGUAUUCAUUCAUUGACUCAUUUACUCCAUCACUUUGGUAGACUGCAAUGAAAAUGGCACAAAUGCUUCCUAUGCCUGUUGUGUGCAAUGCACCUCUCCCAUGGAGAAGUGAAGUCCAGUUCUCCAAAUCUGAAAUUUCAGCUUGAUUACAUGAUGACAUUUAGUCACUGGGAUCUUAGCAAAUGCAUUGCCAGCAGAGGCUGGGCAAGCACUCGCACACUGAGGCUGGUCCUCUCUUGCUGCCCUUUGACCUCCAUGUGAAGAGACCCGGGAUAGCCUGCUGGAUGACAAGAGACCUUGUGGAGCACAGUUAAGCUGGCCCAACUGGUGUGUCCCCUGGAACCAGCCUGCUAACCUGUGAGUGAACCACCUUAGACCAUCCAGCUCCAGUGAGCCAGCCCAGCAAACCUAUUGAAUCAUGAGCUAAAUAAAGUGACAGUUGUUUUAAGCCACUAUGCUUUGGGUGGUUCACUAUGCAGUAAGAGUAAACUGAAAUAAUAGGCAAGUAUUCAGUGAGUGCCUAAUCUGUGCCAAGCAUUGAACUUGGCCUUGGGGAUGUGUAGCCCCGUGAUGGGCAUGAAAUCCAGGCUGGUCAAUGAGAGCACUCCAUCCCCUGAUCACAGCUUCCUGCUGGCUGGUCUGCCUUUUGCUUGGGGUGGGCAAUCCGUGCUCUUGUCUUGCCCUGGUCUGCAAACCUGCAUGAUCUCUGGCUCCCAGGUUCAGCUCCAAGUCUCUCCUUAUCAUCACCCUGAGGUGGGCAAAGGCCUUGCCAGAAGGGUUAGUAGAGAUUAGUAAUUGAUGACUUCAGGCUAACAGAGAGUUCAAAUACUGACUUCUCUGUUUAUUACCAUUUACUGUUGUGAAAAUAAGUAAUUCAAAUCUAAGCUGUUGGAACUUUAAAGCAUUUUGAGCCUUAAGGGAAUGUGAUUAUAGGGCCUGAACCACAUGAGAGGCAGCUGUAACUUGGGCACCUGUCACCUUUGUUUCUCUGGUUAGAUUAGCCUUUCUCCUGCCUAUAUUGUAUUGUAAAUGUUGUAAAGGACUAAAGGGCUCCAGAGAAGACCCUUUCCCUCUUAACUGUUGAUCUUCACUUUAGAUAAACUUCCCUUUCUGUAGUCCUAGCCACACAAAAGGCUGAGGUGGGAGGAUUGCUUGA